CCUACGGGAGGCAGCAGUGAGGAAUAUUGGUCAAUGGGCUUACGGCUGAACCAGCCAAGUCGCGUGAGGGAAGACUGCCCUAUGGGUUGUAAACCUCUUUUGUCAGGGAGCAAUUGGCGCUACGUGUAGCGUUAUCGAGAUUACCUGAAAAAAAAGCAUCGGCUAACUCCGUGCCAGCAGACGCGGUAAUACGGAGGAUGCGAGCGUUAUCCGGAUUUCUUGGGUUUAAAGGGUGCGUAGGCGGAAUGCCAAGUCAGCGGUAAAAUGGCGGGGCUCAACCUCGUACUGCCGUUGAAACUGGCUGUCUUGAGUGGGCGAGAAGUAUGCGGAAUGCGUGGUGUAGCGGUGAAAUGCAUAGAUAUCACGCAGAACUCCGAUUGCGAAGGCAGCAUACCGGCGCCCAACUGACGCUGAAGCACGAAAGCGUGGGUAUCGAACAGGAUUAGAUACCCCAGUAGUC
rnacentral:rRNA from 1 species